rnacentral:rRNA from 1 species
GACAGAGGGUGCAAGCGUUGUUCGGAAUCACUGGGCGUAAAGGGCGCGUAGGCGGUUGGGUGUGUCUGAUGUGAAAGCCCUCGGCUUAACCGGGGAAUGGCAUCGGAAACUACCUGACUGGAGUGCGAGAGAGGGUGGCGGAAUUCCUAGUGUAGAGGUGAAAUUCGUAGAUACUAGGAGGAACACCGGAGGCGAAGGCGGCCACCUGGCUCGUAACUGACGCUAAGGCGCGAAAGCGUGGGUAGCAAACAGG